rnacentral:rRNA from 1 species
UACGAAGGGGGCUAGCGUUGCUCGGAAUCACUGGGCGUAAAGCGCACGUAGGCGGCUUUCUAAGUCAGGGGUGAAAUCCUGGAGCUCAACUCCAGAACUGCCUUUGAUACUGGAGAGCUUGAGUCCGGGAGAGGUGAGUGGAACUCCGAGUGUAGAGGUUAAAUUCGUAGAUAUUCGGAAGAACACCAGUGGCGAAGGCGGCUCACUGGCCCGGUACUGACGCUGAUGUGCGAAAGCGUGGGGAGCAAACAGG